AACAAUGCAGCAGUGCAAUGUUUUAUUGAAAAAAAAAAAUAAUAAUCAUCUCACUUGAUACCUCAGAAGACUGCAUCGCAGCGUUGGAGGGCCACACGCGGGGAGCUCCUCCUCGCUCCCAUGGGGUCCCCAGUGCUGAUGACCUCUGGUGAGGAAAAGAGAGGUGGCCCAGGUAGGCUGAAUGCCCUGCUCCUACCACAGCACGGCUGGCUCAGUCUGGCUUGUGUCUCCUGGUCACCUCGAGCUCCCUGGGGCCAGCGGCUUCCUCAAGCACUUGCUGUUAACCCGCUUUAGUUUCCUUUUGUUAAUGAAGCCACCCCACAUCUUUGCCCUUUUGAAGAGUCCAACGUACGAUUCUAGUGCAAGAGGGCUUGGUACAAGUGAGCAUUACCAGCAUGCCGUGGGGGGACAGUCCUCCCCUACAAACACAUCAUCGUAGGAUUAAAAGAACAUCGUAUCUCCAGAGAGAAGUGGGAGCGGGUCAUUGUGAAACAGCUUUCAAACCGACCCACUUAAAAACAAGGUCAGGAAAGUUUCUAAACAAUCAAAUACAUUCACUUAAAAAAAACCCCGAAACAACAACAAAAAAAAAGAACAACAAAAAAAAAACAUUUAAGAACAAAACCUGUUGAGAUGGCCCCUUCCCCCCCCCGCCCUCCCUCACCCUGCAAACACUUACAUAUGCUGCAACUACAAGCUGCUCCUUGACCAGAGGCAGCGAGGAAUGACCAAACACGGCAGGAGAUGCAGAAGGAAUCGAGUUCUGGUGACAGGCACUUAGUGGGGCUUGGGAGGGCAGCAACAGAAGUGUCUCAGGGCCUGGCUCCAUCUCCCCGGGGGACGCCUGUGCCCCUUUCCCCCCCUCCCAAGUCACCAAACCAUGGUUUCCUACAGCAGAGAGGGCAGCGCCUGUGCCACACACGGGGCUUCUGGAAGCCAUUGGCAGCAGAGGAGUUUGGAAAGAGGAGGGUGGAAUGUGGCCAUGGUCCUGUCCUCCCGCUGGCAGAAGGGGAUGAGGGGCGAAGCGCCUGCGGGAGGUGAGUGGUCCCCUUCCUGCCCUGGCCAUGGCUUGAGGAAAGCGCUUUGCAGAGUGAGAACGUUCACGUGUCUCCUGGUGGGUGCACGGGCAAAGGGCUCCGUGCCUCUGAGCUGCACUCGUCGGGAUAAGGCAUGGAGAGAACGCAGUGGGGAAUGGCAAAGAGACGCCCUAUGGAGAUCCUGUCAAGGAGGCUUUUCUGCCCCAGCACCACACCAGUGUCUGCCUGCUUCAGGGAUGCAGAAAGAGCAAGCCCAGGAUGAUCUCCUGCCCGCUAAGCCUGCUUCUGCCUAGCCAGGGGAACCAAACCUCCUGGGAGUGCUGCUCCAUGAACUCCAAGAUAUGCAGAUCAUCAUUAAAACCAGUAAAAGAUAGUGAGAUCUAGUCUCUCCCUGUCCUCCCUUCAUGCUCUCUGGGACUUUGGAGGUGAGCCAGGGCCGAGUUUAUGACAAACAAAGUCCCUCAAGUGAGCAGUUGCAGCCUGGUCAGGUGUCACAUGUGGAAAGACAAAGUACAAGGAACCUAUUCACAACCUUCCCAAGAGCUGCUCGAGUUCUCCCACAGCCCUGACACAUCCAUGGUAACCCCGGGGCAGCCUCAGCUGCAGCAGGGUGCAAAAUAAAACACGUAUGCAAAGCACCCUGAGCCCUUUGCUAGCUAUUGGUUUGGCUCCAAAGUGGUGCAUGAGAACCGUGGCUUCUCCUGUGGGGUGGGAUGGCCUGCCACAGGCCCCAGACCCACGCUUGCAGGGAGGACAUGAAGGCGAUUCCAGUCAAACCUAUCUGACCAUCUGGAGAUGAAAUCAGUGUUAAGGCAUGAAGUGUCCUCUCCCCUGCUGGGGAAGCUUUGCUCCUGCUAACGUUUUCUCACAGAAGGUAUGUGCUCACAACCACCCUACCAGAGGGAUCUGAGGAGGCUGCCCGGUUACCCACACUGGGAAACAUCUGUGCUUUGGGAAACAGCUGCCUCCCAGUUACCUUAAUCCAGCUCUACCUCUUAAGCCAGCACAAACUCCUCCGGCUCAGCAAAACCAA
ensembl:lncRNA